AUGGAGAUUCCACCUGGUUUCUCAAAGCCCGAGACAUCAAGAAAGUGCAAUGGGGAUCAUACAGUAUUCUACCGGCACUCAAAUUGUCAGAUUACAAUCCUUGCGGUGUAUGUGGAUGAUAUUAUAAUCACCGGAGAUGAUGAUGUGGAAAUAUCACGACUAAAGAAGAGCCUGAGCAAGGAGUUUGAGGUAAAGGAUUUAGGCCAACUGAAGUACUUUCUUGGUAUAGAAAUUGCUAGAUCCCCUAAAGGAAUUGUUCUGUCACAACGGAAGUAUGCUCUCGACUUGCUUAGUGAUACAGGCAUGCUUGGGUGUAGGCCUGCUUCAACACCUAUUGACCAGAAUCAUAAGUUAUGUGCUGAAUCUGGGGAACCAGUGGAUAAGGGGAAGUACCAGAGACUUGUUGGAAGGCUCAUCUACCUAUGUCAUACACGACCCGAUAUCUCAUAUGCAGUGAGUGUGGUGAGCAGAUACAUGCAUGAUCCUAGGAGUGGACACUUAGAGGCUGUCUAUCGAAUCCUCCGAUAUCUGAAGGGUAAUCCAGGAAGGGGGCUAUGGUUUAAGAAGAAUGGGCAUCUUAAUAUAGAUGGAUACUGUGAUGCAGACUGGGGAAGUUGUUUGGAUGACAGAAGAUAA
rnacentral:rRNA from 1 species